AUGGCCGCCGCCUCCACGAAUCCCCCGCUGAAGUCCAUCAAGGAGACGUACCAGAUGAAGACGCACCUGGAGCACACCAGGCUGCGCCCAGACACCUACGUCGGCUCGGUCCAGCAGCACAAGACGCCUCUCUGGGUCUACGAGGACGGUGCCAUGGUGCAUCGGUAUGUCACCUACGUCCCCGGCCUCUACAAGAUCUUCGACGAGAUCCUCGUCAACGCCGCCGACCACAAGCAGCGCAACCGCUGCAUGAACUACCUCCAGGAGGGCAUCUACGUGCCGGAGCUGAUCUUCGCCAACCUCCUCACUAGCAGCAACUACCAUGACAACGAGCGGAAGACCUUCGGCAGCACGAACGGCUACGGCGCCAUACUCGCCAACAUCUUCUCGAGGGAAUUCGUCAUCGAGAUCGCUGAUGGGCGCCGGCAGAAGAAGUACAAGCAGAUUUUCUCUGAAAACAUGGGGAAGAAGUCAGAACCCGAGAUUAAAAAGUGCGAGCAGUCAGAGAACUGGACCAGAGUUACCUUCAAGCCUGACCUUGCCAAGUUUGUCUUCACCAAGAUGCUCGACCGUGAUAUCGUGGCAGUCAUGAGGAAGAGAGUAGUUGAUAUGGCGGGCAUCCUUGGCAAAUCCGUGAAUGUUGAGUUGAAUGGUCAGAAGCUAGCAGCAAAAAGCUUCUCCGAGUAUGUGCAACUCUAUAUUGACUCUGUUUCCAAAGAAGGAAUCGAGCUACCAAGAAUUUACCAGAAGGUAAAUGAUCGUUGGGAGGUGUGUGUGAGUCUAAGUGAAGGCCAGUUUCAGCAGGUCAGUUUUGUAAAUGGAAUUGCGACCAUAAGAGGCGGAACUCACGUUGACUACGUCGCAAACCAAAUCGCCAACCAUUUGAUGGGCAUUGUGAACAAGAAAAACAAGCAUGCUAGCAUGAAAUUACAUACAGUGAAGGGCUACCUAUGGGUAUUUGUUAAUGCACUCAUUGAAAACCCUGCCUUUGAUUCACAGACCAAAGAGACCUUGACAACUCCUCAGGGAAAGUUUGGGUCCAAGUGUGAGCUAUCCGAAGAUUUCCUUACGAGGGUCUCUAACUCGGGUGUUGUCACCAAUCUCCUUCGUUUGGCCAAGUCUAAACUAAGCAAGGGAGCCAAUUUGGAUUCUCUCCCACAUUCAUCUACUCGUAUGUCAUAUAUGCAUGCCCCACCAAGACCCACACAAAUAUUCUCAGAGAUGCAUGGAGCACAGCGUGGAGAAAUCAAGAAACUUGACCGCGAUGAUGUGUUCCUUGAGCUAUACCUAAAACUGAAGCGGGAAGAAAUUGAUCGGUUCGCUGCAAUUGAGGAGAAGAAGCUGGAGGAUCCAUGCAGCAUUACCAGGUGUAUCGCAACGAUCGAAAAAUUACAAGGUCUGCAAGUAGAUGAUAUUUUGGUGGCAGCAGAUAUCUUCAAGAUAAAGGAGAACAGGGAAGUUUUCUUAUCCUUCUCUAGAGAUGAUCUUCGGUUGGCUUGGAUUGAAAGGGAGAUUGUGCGCAGCCAGCCAUACAAUCGGAAUUAG
rnacentral:rRNA from 1 species